UCUCCAACCGCAACCCUGCUAACCUUCCCUGGAAGUAAGCUUUUCUACCUCUUUGACGUUAAGCGCUUAAUUAUUACCAAAACCAAAUAAACUGAAAUUACUAUAACUGCUUAUGCUAAUUACAAUUUACAAACAGAGUUUCAAAUUAGAAUGAAAAUCACAAGUUUAGUUUGAAAUUAUUAAUAUUGAUUGAUUUGUGCAGGGAAUUGGGAGUUGACUUGGUGAUUGAAGGAACUGGGGUGUUCGUGGACAGAGAAGGUGCAGGGAAGCACAUUCAGGCGGGAGCCAAGAAGGUACUGAUCACAGCCCCAGGCAAAGGUGACAUCCCAACCUAUGUAGUUGGUGUCAAUGCUGAUGCUUACAGCCCAGACGAACCCAUCAUCAGCAACGCUUCUUGCACCACUAACUGCCUUGCUCCCUUCGUCAAGGUCCUUGACCAGAAAUUCGGUAAUUCACCAUUUGGGCUCUACAACAUUCUUAUCUGUAACAGAAAAUUAAACUAACUCCCACGUGACACGUGACGUGGCAGGUAUCAUCAAGGGAACCAUGACCACCACUCACUCCUACACCGGAGACCAAAGGCUUCUUGACGCCAGCCACCGCGACCUCAGGCGCGCGAGGGCGGCAGCGCUGAACAUCGUGCCGACCUCAACCGGAGCGGCCAAGGCGGUGGCGCUUGUGUUGCCGACACUUAAGGGAAAGCUGAACGGAAUUGCAUUGCGUGUACCAACGCCAAACGUGUCCGUCGUUGACCUCGUUGUUCAGGUGUCAAAGAAGACGUUCGCGGAGGAAGUCAACGCUGCGUUCAGAGAGAGCGCGGAGAAGGAGCUUAACGGCAUCCUCUCAGUGUGUGAUGAACCACUUGUCUCCGUUGAUUUCAGGUGCACCGACGUUUCAUCUACCGUUGACUCUUCGUUGACCAUGGUCAUGGGUGAUGACAUGGUGAAGGUUAUUGCUUGGUAUGAUAAUGAGUGGGGUUACUCACAAAGGGUUGUGGAUUUGGCUGACAUUGUUGCAAACAGCUGGAAGUGAAAGUCAAAGUCAA
rnacentral:lncRNA from 1 species